GGUGAUAAAAAAUAAUUCAAGAUUUUCCUCGACACCCCCAAAUUUUCUCAAGAAACAAACAGAAGAAAGGGGAAUAUAUUUACCCAGGACUGGCGCCAUCGCCGGUGUGAGGAGUAGACUUGUCGUCUUCAGGAUAGUCGGAGGAUCU